UUGGAGGGCAAGUCUGGUGCCAGCAGCCGCGGUAAUUCCAGCUCCAAUAGCGUAUAUUAAAGUUGUUGCAGUUAAAAAGCUCGUAGUUGAAUUUCGGGAUUCAUCCGUUGGUCGGGCCUCACGGUCCGUACUGGUGUGAUGGGUUCCUACCUUCUGAAUAACCGGCAUGUCAUUAAUUUGGUGGGCCGGGGAAGCAGAACUAUUACCUUGAAAAAAUUAGAGUGCUUAAAGCAGGCAAGUGCCUGAAUAGGUUAGCAUGGAAUAAUAAAAUAGGACGGCAUGGUUCUAUUUUGUUGGUUUCUAGGAUCACCGUAAUGAUUAAUAGGGAUAGUUGGGGGCAUUAGUAUUCAAUUGUCAGAGGUGAAAUUCUUGGAUUUAUUGAAGACUAACUUCUGCGAAAGCAUUUGCCAAGGAUGUUUUCGUUAAUCAAGAACGAAAGUUAGGGGAUCGAAGACGAUCAGAUACCGUCGUAGUCUUAACCAUAAACUAUGCCGACUAGGGAUCGGACGAUGUUAAUUUUUUAAUGACUCGUUCGGCGCCUUACGGGAAA
rnacentral:rRNA from 1 species